GACGAACGCUGGCGGCGUGCUUAACACAUGCAAGUCGAGCGGUAAGGCCCUUCGGGGUACACGAGCGGCGAACGGGUGAGUAACACGUGGGUGACCUGCCUCUAGCUCUGGGAUAAGCCUGGGAAACUGGGUCUAAUACCGGAUAUGACUCCACGGCGCAUGUUGGUGGGGUAGGAAAGCCUUGUGUGGCUAGAGAUCGGGCCCGCGGCCUAUCAGCUUGUUGGUGGGGUGAUGGCCUACCAAGGCGACGACGGGUAGCCGGCCUGAGAGGGCGACCGGCCACACUGGGACUGAGACAC
rnacentral:rRNA from 1 species